rnacentral:SRP_RNA from 1 species
GCUGGGAGUGGUGGUGUGUGCCUGUAGUCCCAGCUACCAGGGAGGCUGAGAUGGGAGGAUUGCUUGAGCCCAGGAGGUCGAGGCUGCAGUGAGCAAUGAGUGUGCCACUGCACUUCAGCCUGGGUGACAGAGUGAGAUCCUGUCUCAA